rnacentral:rRNA from 1 species
UACGGGGGGGGCAAGCGUUGUUCGGAAUUACUGGGCGUAAAGGGCUCGUAGGCGGCCAACUAAGUCAGACGUGAAAUCCCUCGGCUUAACCGGGGAACUGCGUCUGAUACUGGAUGGCUUGAGUUUGGGAGAGGGAUGCGGAAUUCCAGGUGUAGCGGUGAAAUGCGUAGAUAUCUGGAGGAACACCGAUGGCGAAGGCAGGUCUCUGGGCCGAUACUGACGCUGAGGAGCGAAAGCGUGGGGAGCGAACAGG